rnacentral:rRNA from 1 species
UACGUAGGGACCAAGCGUUGUUCGGAUUUACUGGGCGUAAAGGGCGCGUAGGCGGCUUGACAAGUCACUUGUGAAAUCUCCGGGCUUAACUCGGAACGGCCAAGUGAAACUGUCAUGCUAGAGUGCAGAAGGGGCAAUCGGAAUUCUUGGUGUAGCGGUGAAAUGCGUAGAUAUCAAGAGGAACACCUGAGGUGAAGACGGGUUGCUGGGCUGACACUGACGCUGAGGCGCGAAAGCUAGGGGAGCGAACAGG